CUGGGCAUGCGCAGAUCGGGGGAGGGGCGGAGUGUGAUCAGCUGCUGGGUGAGCGCCGCGCGGCUGCUGCUCCAUUGUGACCGGGGAGCCCGGGCGGAGCAGGAGGGUCUGUGCCGGGGAGACCCAUUAACCCCCCGUGCCCGGCCCGGGCCCUGCUCCCGCUGCGGAGCUGCAGCCUCCAGGUGCUGCAGAGACCCCAAGUGAGAUCUGGGUCCUGUUCUGCCAGGCGCUGCAGAGACCCUAACAGAGGUCAGACCCCACUGUUGUGACAGGUGUUGUGGAGACCCCAACAGAGAUCUGCACCCCUGUUGUGCUGGACACUGUAGAGACCCCAUCUGACAUCAGGCCUCCUAUUGUGCCAGGCUACAGAACAACGUCCAUGUUUUGCUCCAAAUCAUCCCCUCCUCCCUGGGGGAAGG